CUACAUUUGAUAAGGCGUUCGUAGAGGUAGAGGGAGUUUUUGAGCCUAGUGAUAAUCUGACAAGGCCUCUGCAAUAUGGAUGUAUAAAAAAAAUAAAAAAAUAAACAUGAGAAGUUACACACCUACAUUUGAUAAGGCGUUCGUAGAGGUAGUGUUAUUGUUGCCAUGGGGAGUUUUUGAGCCUAGUGAUAAUCUGCCAAGGCCUCUGCAAUAUGGAUGUAUAAAAAAAAAUAAA